GAGGGGUUAUAACAGUAGUCUAGUGUGAGGGGUUAUACCAGUAGUCUAGUGUGAGGGGUUAUAACAGUAGUCUAGUGGGAGGGGUUAUAACAGUAGUCUAGUCUGAGGGGUUAUAACAGUAGUCUAGUGUGAGAGGUUAUAUCAGUAGUCUAGUGUGAGGGGUUAUAACAGUAGUCUAGUGUGAGGGGUUAUAACAGUAGUCUAGUGUGAGAGGUUAUAACAGCAGUCUAGUGUGAGGGGUUAUAACAGUAGUAUAGUGUGAGAGGUUAUAACAGUAGUCUAGUGGGAGGGGUUACAACAGUAGUCUAGUGGGAGGGGUUAUAUCAGUAGUCUGGUGUGAGGGGUUAUAACAGUAGUCUAGUGUGAGGGGUUAUCACAGUAGUCUCGUGUGAGGGGUUAUACCAGUAGUCUCGUGUGAGGGGUUAUAUCAGUAGU